rnacentral:rRNA from 1 species
AUGAACGCUGACAGAAUGCUUAACACAUGCAAGUCAACUUGAACUUCGGUUUGGGUGGCGGACGGGUGAGUAACGCGUAAAGAACUUGCCUCACAGCUAGGGACAACAUUUGGAAACGAAUGCUAAUACCUGAUAUUAUGAUUUUAGGGCAUCCUAGAAUUAUGAAAGCUAUAUGCGCUGUGAGAGAGCUUUGCGUCCCAUUAGCUAGUUGGAGAGGUAACGGCUCACCGAGGCGAUGAUGGGUAGCCGGCCUGAGAGGGUGAACGGCCACAAGGGGACUGAGACACGGCCCUUACUCCUACGGGAGGCAGCAGUGGGGAAUAUUGGACAAUGGACCAAGAGUCUGAUCCAGCAAUUCUGUGUGCACGAUGAAGUUUUUCGGAAUGUAAAGUGCUUUCAGUUGGGAAGAAAAAAAUGACGGUACCAACAGAAGAAGUGACGGCUAAAUACGUG